CAGCAGCCGCGGGAAUACGAAGGGUGCAAGCGUUAAUCGGAAUUACUGGGCGUAAAGCGUGCGCAGGCGGUUUGUUAAGACAGAUGUGAAAUCCCCGGGCUCAACCUGAGAACUGCAUUUGUGACUGGCAAGCUAGAGUGUGGCAGAGGGGGGUGGAAUUCCGCGUGUAGCAGUGAAAUGCGUAGAUAUGCGGAGGAACACCGAUGGCGAAGGCAGCCCCCUGGGCCAACACUGACGCUCAUGCACGAAAGCGUGGGGAGCAAACAGGAUUAGAUACCCCCGUAGUCCCUGUCUCUUAUAU
rnacentral:rRNA from 1 species